ACACACCGCCCGUCGCUACUACCGAUUGAAUGGCUCAGUGAGGCCUUCGGACUGGCCCAGGGAGGUCGGCAACGACCACCCAGGGCCGGAAAGUUGGUCAAACUCGGUCAUUUAGAGGAAGUAAAAGUCGUAACAAGGUCUCCGUAGGUGAACCUGCGGAGGGAUCAUUA
rnacentral:rRNA from 1 species